UGGUCUCGCAUUCACGACAGCUUCUUGAGCUCUUCUCACUUUCGCAGCUGCAACAAGCUUCAUUGCUUCAGUGAUUUUCUGGGUGUUCUUCACUGAUUCUAUACGACCACGAAGCUCCUUCAGACUGCAAUUGAUCGAGGAAGAAGAAGGUCUGGAAUUCGAAAUUGAUGGAUUGGAAUUUGGGAUUUGAACUGGGCUGAUGAACGAUCUGAAGGAGAGGGCAGAUGAAUCGAGUGAUGAGGGUUUUGAAGAUACCCACAUUGUUAGAUUCGAGCAAGACAUAAUGUCCGAUUAGGGUUUUCUUCCAGAAUUCAACAAUGGAGGUUGGGGAUGCGUAAAGAGUUUUUGUUUCUUGAUAAAAAUC
rnacentral:lncRNA from 1 species